rnacentral:rRNA from 1 species
UGGGCGGUACAAAGGGUCGCGAACCCGCGAGGGGGAGCCAAUCCCAAAAAGCCGACUCUCAGUUCGGAUUGCAGGCUGCAACUCGCCUGCAUGAAGCCGGAAUCGCUAGUAAUCGCGGAUCAGCAUGCCGCGGUGAAUACGUUCCCGGGCCUU